UGCAGUCGAACGGUAGCACAGAGAGCUUGCUCUCGGCUGACGAGUGGCGGACGGGUGAUGAAUGUCUGGCAAACUGCCUGAUGGAGGGGGAUAACUACUGGAAACGGUAGCUAAUACCGCAUACCGUCGCAAGACCAAAGAGGGGGACCUUCCGUGCUCUUGCCAUCGAAUGUGCCCAGAUGGGAUUAGCUAGUAGGUGGGGUAACGGCUCACCUAAGCGACUAUCCCUAGCUGGUCUGAAAGGAUGACCACCCUCACUGGAACUGACACACGGUCCUCACUCCUACGGGAGGCAGCAGUGGGGAAUAUUGCACAAUGGGCGCCUGCCUGAUGCAUGCAUGCCGCGUGUAUGAAGAAGGCCUUCGGGUUGUAAAGUACUUUCAGCGGGAAGGAAGGUGAUGUGGUUAAUAACCGCAGCAAUUGACGUUACCCGCAUAAGAAGCACCGGCUAACUCCGUGCCAGCAGCCGCGGUAAUACGGAGUGGUGCAAGCGUUAAUCGGAAUUACUGGGCGUAGAGCGCACGCAGGCGGUCUGUCAAGUCAUGAUGAGAAAUCCGCGCUCUCAACCUGAGAACUGUAUUCGACUGUGGCAGGAUAGAGUCGUGUAGAGGGGGGGUAGAAUUCCAUGUGUAGCGGGAGAUGUGCGUAGAGAUCUGGAAGUAUAGCAGGUGGCGAGCGGCGCAUCCUCGUGCUACAUAGACUGACGCU
rnacentral:rRNA from 1 species